UACGUAGGGUGCAAGCGUUGUCCGGAAUUAUUGGGCGUAAAGAGCUCGUAGGCGGUCUGUCGCGUCUGCUGUGAAAACUCGGGGCUUAACCCCGGGCCUGCAGUGGGUACGGGCAGACUAGAGUGCGGUAGGGGAGACUGGAAUUCCUGGUGUAGCGGUGAAAUGCGCAGAUAUCGGGAGGAACACCGGUGGCGAAGGCGGUUCUCUGGGCCUUACCUGACGCUGAGGAGCGAAAGCGUGGGGAGCGAUCAGG
rnacentral:rRNA from 1 species